UUCUGUUCUAAUUUAAAUUUUCUAUUUUUUUCUUUCCUGUUCCAAACUUAGAAACAGAAUGUUACUCACUUAUCUGAUCUUUUCUUGCAAUUUAAUUGAACCAUUUCAAAGAACUUUUUUUUCUUUUUUUUCUUUAUUCUAUUAUCACCGUGAUUAAUCAUUGCCUGCACUUCCAAAAUCCAUAAAUUAAUUAGUACCAAAGUUUCUGGAAACUUUAUAAAGAAAUUAACAUAACUCAUUGUGUGAAUAUUAUUUCAUAAAUUAAUUACUACUCCAAAUUUUUCGGCGAUGGUGACUGAAAUUCAGGCGAACUACACCUAUAUGGGACAGAGCUUUUAGUGACUGCAACAAUGAUAGAUCCGGUGAGUUUUUAGCGGCAUCGCCUCGGAUCCGACGGCUAAUCAUUGUAUGCGCUUUCAAAUCUCAGAUCCGGUGGCAAAUCCUUGCUUGUAUCGUCUCAGAUCUUUGGUUCGUUAUCAUGUACCCCGUUCGUCCUAUCGGUUCCUCUCAGUUCCCCAUCGGCUGAAGAGAGAGGUGAAGGUGAAGGAAGUGGAGGCGGAGAAUUUGAGGAAGAAGCUAAGGGAUACAAGAAGAAUUUUGUAAUAUUGAAAAUCGUUUUUGUUCAAAAAAUAGUUAAUGUAGUUCAGACGUAGUUCUGAAUAGUACUACUUCCGUCCCAUAAUAAGUGAUUUUUUAGCUUAAAUCACAUAUACCAAUACACAAGUUAUAAUGAUAAAAAUACUUUUAAUAUACUUUUUUUGGAGUUGAAAAGUUAAUGAGUGUCAUUUAAUUGUAGUGAGUAAUGGAGGAAACGAAGAGUCAAAAAUAAUGGAGAGCAUAUAUGGGAAAAUAUUAUAAAAUUUAUAUUGGAGUUCUAACACAUCACUUAUUUUGAAAAAAAAAUAUUAAGCCUAAAAAAUCACUUAUUGUGGGAC
rnacentral:lncRNA from 1 species